rnacentral:lncRNA from 1 species
AAUGGGAGAGAGGAGGAGAGAGCGGAGGUCGGCCUGGUGGUCGUCGGUGUCGGCUGCGGGCUGCUCCGGCGCUCGGUGACCGGUCGGCAUGGGGUCGGGUCUCGGUCGGGAGUUGCUCCCCUGAUCGAGAUCAAAUCGAGGAGGGUGCGAGGAGAACCCGUGGGCCGUCAGAUUUCGGUCUGGACGGUCUAAAUCGAAGGGGAGGGACUGGCUAUGGCUGAUGGAGGCUGAAACGACGGAGGUUGUCAGGGAGGAUCCCGAGGAAGAUGUAGGCUGGCGACGGCUGCGGGAUAAGACCUACUCCCUCCGUUCCAGUCUUUUAAGCGAUUUUACAAGAUGUCUAUAUACAGAGCAAAAUGAUUGAAUAUACACUCUAAAGUAUGUCUAUAUACAUCCGUAUGUAGUUCACUAGUGAAAUCUCUAUAAAGACUUAUAUUU